GUUUUAAUAGCUUAAAUUAUAAAGCAUAAUACUGAAGCUAUUAAGAUAAUUAAAAAUUUUAAAACA
rnacentral:tRNA from 1 species